GACGAACGCUGGCGGCGUGCUUAACACAUGCAAGUCGAGCGGUAAGGCCCUUUCGGGGGUACGACGAGCGGCGAACGGGUGAGUAACACGUGGGUGACCUGCCCUUAGCUCUGGGAUAAGCCUGGGAAACUGGGUCUAAUACCGGAUAUGACUCCAUAACGCAUGUUGUGGGGUGGAAAGCCUUGUGCGGCUAGGGAUGGGCCCGCGGCCUAUCAGCUUGUUGGUGGGGUGAUGGCCACCAAGGCGACGACGGGUAGCCGG
rnacentral:rRNA from 1 species